rnacentral:rRNA from 1 species
UGGGGAAUAUUGCACAAUGGGCGCAAGCCUGAUGCAGCGACGCCGCGUGAAGGAUGAAGGCUUUCGAGUCGUAAACUUCUGUUAAGUGGGAAGAAAUGCGCAUGGUUAAUACCCAUGUGAGCUGACGGUACCACUAGAGAAAGCACCGGCUAACUUCGUGCCAGCAGCCGCGGUAAUACGAAGGGUGCAAGCGUUAUUCGGAGUUAUUGGGCGUAAAGAGCGUGUAGGCGGCUUGUUAAGUCUGAUGUUAAAUUACCCAGCUCAACUGGGUUUAUGCAUCGGAAACUGGCGAGCUAGAGUGUAAGAGAGAGAAGUGGAAUUCUCGGAGUAGCGGUAAAAUGCGUAGAUCUCGAGAGGAACACCGGUGGCGAAGGCGGCUUCUUGGCUUACAACUGACGCU